UAGAAGUUGAAGCAAACAUACCAGCAAUUUACUAAAUUAAAUUAAAUUAGUGCCUUAAAAGUGAAAAAGAAACGAUUCCCAGACAAGGCUGAUGGUAAAUCUAUAAAAAAAUGGAAGGCUAAGUCGUUCCAUCUUAAGCAUAUUAUCCGAGGAACUUGUUCUGUCCCACAACUUGGAGGGGGGGCAAAACAAGAAGAGGCUCAGACUACCCAAAUUUCGCCCGUGCCUUAUUAAAUGCAAUCGCCCUGGUGGAUCCCUCGGAGCCUCCCGAAAAG